CGCGCGCUCGCCCUCUUUGGCAGCGGGUUGCGUCGGGUACAGGUCGGCUCCAUCGGGCCUGCUUCCCUCCCCUUCUUCGGUCACCUACGAGGUCAGCUCGUGCACCUGUCUCCCCCUCACCUACCCGACAGCUCUAGGGCAGCUCGGUUCGAAACGACCCAGGAGGGGUCUUGCAAAGUCUUCCAUCAUCGUGGGCACCGCUCAGGCUGAGGAACGAACUGAGCUCCGGGGUAUCUUGACUUGGCGACGCGUCUCGGGACCCCCACAUCACACCUGGAUGCCCUGGGGUAGCCCUCGCACAUCUGAGUCUCCCCAUCUGCAAAAUGCAGCUGUUGCUAAUUCUGCUCUCCCGGGCCCGGCGGGAGGAUUAGGGGCCAGUGAGCACUUGUUGAGAGCCCUUUGUGUGUAAGGCGGAGUGUGGACGCAAGGGACACCCGAGUGAGCGGACAGCGAGGUCAGGACCCUGUGUAUGGAGGCGCACACAGAGGAUUAAACCAGCAUGUUUGCAAAAACGCCUGGCCCUCUGCUUUUUCCGCUGGCUGUGUGGCGUUGAGCACGUGGUCUAGCCUCUGGAGCCGUUUCCCCUCCCUAAGAUGGGCAGAGCUCCUUGGCAAGCAAGAACUGUCCGUGUGUGCCUUGCCCUCCAGCUCCAGACAUCUCACAGAGGCAGCACAGGUAUCUGUCUCCUGUCCCAUCCUUCAGGAGGUUGGGUCGCAGGAAGGAUGGCCUGUUACAAUGACCCUCCGCAUGACUUCAAUUCAUUCCACAAACUUCUGAGGGCCUGGAACUCAAUGUUGGGGAGACAGGGCAACAGUUGGGUACUUAACUUGCAAGCUGCAGAAACUGACUUAGCCACUUUAAAUAAAAACAAUUUGUUGGAAGGAUACCGGGA
rnacentral:lncRNA from 10 species